GGGCCGGUGGUCUAGUGGUUUUGGUGCGUGCAAAAGCCCGUGCCACCGCAAAUGACGUCGCCUUUACAAGGCGAAGAUCGGCUGUUCAAUUCCGCCUCGGCCCA
rnacentral:tRNA from 2 species